UACAGAGGGGGCAAGCGUUAUUCGGAAUUAUUGGGCGUAAAGGGCGCGUAGGCGGCUUUGCAAGUGGCGGGUGAAAUCCCUCGGCUUAACCGAGGAACUGCCUGCCAGACUGUGAGGCUUGAGACCGGGAGAGGUGAGUGGAAUUCCCAGUGUAGCGGUGAAAUGCGUAGAUAUUGGGAGGAACACCAGUGGCGAAGGCGGCUUUCUGGACGAUAACUGACGCUGAGACGCGAAAGCGUGGGGAGCAAACAGG
rnacentral:rRNA from 1 species